rnacentral:scRNA from 1 species
UUUCAGGUCGAGUUGCGCAAUCUUCCCUUCGC